rnacentral:rRNA from 1 species
UACAGAGGUGGCAAGCGUUGUUCGGAAUUACUGGGCGUAAAGGGCGCGUAGGCGGCCUUCUCAGUCGGACGUGAAAUCCCCAGGCUUAACUUGGGAACUGCGUCCGAUACUGGAAGGCUUGAGUGCGGGAGAGGGAUGUGGAAUUCCAGGUGUAGCGGUGAAAUGCGUAGAUAUCGGGAGGAACAUCAGUGGCGAAGGCGGCCUUCUGGUCCAGUACUGACACUCAAGUGCGAAAGCGUGGGGAGCAAACAGG